ACUUGCAUUUCUUUUGACGUUCAUGUUUAUAUAAUUAGAUUACAACUAAGUUUGUGUAUGGCUUGUUUAUAUUAUUUCAGAAUUUGCUAUUUUAGACACUUGGUAUAAGCUGUCAUACUAAUUUGCUGUUUUAGACAUGUGGCUUGUGAUAUCCCACUAAUUAGCUAUUUUAAACAUGUGACAAGUGGUAUGACACUGUAUUGAUGUAUGUGAAAUGUAUAGAGUCUUUCAGUUAUCAGAUAAUGUCAAGGAGUUGACAGCAUGGUGUCGAUUUAAAGUGCGAACCUGUGUGCGAGUAACAACAGUAUUCAAAACCAAAACCUAUUUAAACCAACCAAACCAAAACU
rnacentral:lncRNA from 1 species